rnacentral:tRNA from 1 species
GCUCCCAUGGCGUAGUGGUCACUGCACUCGCCUUGCACGCGGGAGACCCGGGUUCGAUUCCCGGCGGGCA